rnacentral:rRNA from 1 species
AAACUUUCAACAACGGAUCUCUUGGUUCCGGCAUCGAUGAAGAACGCAGCGAAGUGCGAUAAGUAAUGUGGAUUGCAGAAUUCAGUGAAUCAUCGAAUCUUUGAACGCACAUUGCGCCCCCUGGUAUUCCGGGGGGCAUGCCUGUCCGAGCGUCAUU